rnacentral:rRNA from 1 species
UACGUAGGGGGCUAGCGUUGUCCGGAAUCAUUGGGCGUAAAGCGCGUGUAGGCGGUCCGGUAAGUCCGCUGUGAAAGUCGAGGGCUCAACCCUCGAAUGCCGGUGGAUACUGUCGGGCUAGAGUGCGGAAGAGGCGAGUGGAACUCCUGGUGUAGCGGUGGAAUGCGCAGAUAUCAGGAAGAACACCAACGGCGAAGGCAGCUCGCUGGGACGGUACUGACGCUGAGACGCGAAAGCGUGGGGAGCGAACAGG